UACGUAGGGUGCAAGCGUUAAUCGGAAUUACUGGGCGUAAAGCGCGCGUAGUCGGUUAUUUAAGUCGGGUGUGGAAGCCCCGGGCUCAACCUGGGAAUUGCAUUCGAUACUGGAUAGCUAGAGUUCGGCAGAGGGAAGCGGAGUUUCCGGUGUAGCGGUGAAAUGCGUAGAUAUCGGAAGGAACAGCAGUGGCGAAAGCGGCUUCCUGGACCAGAACUGACGAUCAGGCUCGAAAGCGUGGGGAGCAAACAGG
rnacentral:rRNA from 1 species